CCUACGGGUGGCUGCAGUGGGGAAUAUUGGACAAUGGGCGAAAGCCUGAUCCAGCCAUGCCGCGUGUGUGAAGAAGGCCUUCGGGUUGUAAAGCACUUUCAGUGGGGAAGAAAGCCUUGGGGCUAAUACCCUCGAGGAAGGACAUCACCCACAGAAGAAGCACCGGCUAACUCCGUGCCAGCAGCCGCGGUAAUACGGAGGGUGCGAGCGUUAAUCGGAAUUACUGGGCGUAAAGCGCGCGUAGGCGGUCUGAUAAGCCGGUUGUGAAAGCCCCGGGCUCAACCUGGGAACGGCAUCCGGAACUGUCAGGCUAGAGUGCAGGAGAGGAAGGGAGAAUUCCCGGUGUAGCGGUGAAAUGCGUAGAGAUCGGGAGGAAUACCAGUGGCGAAGGCGGCCUUCUGGACUGACACUGACGCUGAGGUGCGAAAGCGUGGGUAGCAAACAGGAUUAGAUACCCCGGUAGUC
rnacentral:rRNA from 1 species